CUCUUUCUCUCCUCCAAAGCAAAGUUCAGACUUGACGAUGGAGUCAAGCAACCCAAAGGUCAUCACAUGUAAAGCUGCAGUAGUAUGGAAGGAGGGGGAGAUGAUGAAGAUCGAAGAGAUACAAGUGGAUCCACCUAAAUCAAAUGAAGUUCGAAUUAAGAUGCUCUUUGCCAGUUUGUGCCACUCUGACAUUAUCGCUUCCAAUGGCUUUCCCAUUCCUUUAUUUCCUCGAGUUCUUGGACAUGAAGGAGUUGGCAUGAUAGAAAGUGUGGGAGAAAAUGUGACAAAUCUAAGAAAAGGAGAUAUAGUGAUGCCACUUUAUUUGGGAGAAUGCAGAGAAUGCCCAAAUUGCAAGUCAGGGAAGUCCAAUUUAUGUCACAAAUAUCCCUUGACCCUUUCUGGUCUAAUGUUGGAUGGCACAACAAGAAUGUCCAUUCAUGGAGCACAAGUAUUAUACCAUAGCUUUAGUUGUGCUACUUGGUCCGAAUAUACAGUUAUUAAUGUGAACUACGUAAUCAAGGUUGAUCCUCAGAAGAUUCCGCUUCAACAUGCUAGCUUGCUUUGUUGUGGAUUUACAGCAGGUUAUGGAGCAACAUGGAGAGAAGUUCAUGUUGAAAAGGGAUCAACUGUUGCUGUACUAGGUCUUGGUGCUGUUGGACUUGG
rnacentral:misc_RNA from 1 species